ensembl:lncRNA
GGGUAACACUGUCAUUUUUUAUUGGUCGUCAUAAAUGUUAAUGCAUCAGGUCUGCUUAGCUCAGGAGGUAGAGCAGUUGUCUUGUAACUGAAUGGUUGCAUGUUCGAUCCCCAGUUCCUCUGUGCUGAGUUACCCCUUGGGGGAGAUGUAAGGGGUAACACUGUCAUUUUUUAUCGGCGGUCAUGAAAAUAAAACAUAAGGGGUAACACUGUUGUUUUUUAUCGGCGGUCAUGAAAAUAAAACAUAAGGGGUAACACUGUUGUUUUUUAUCGGAUGUCAUGAAAAUAAAACACUGUUGUUUUUUAUCGUUCAUGAAACUGUCAUUUUGUAUCGGCGGUCAUGAAAAUAAAACAUAAGGGGUAACACUGUUGUUUUUUAUCAGAGGUCAUGAAAAUAAAACAAGGGGUAACACUGUUGUUUUUUAUCGGCGGUCAUGAAAAUAAAACAUAAGGGGUAACACUGUUGUUUUUUAUCGGAUGUCAUGAAAAUAAAACACUGUUGUUUUUUAUCGUUCAUGAAACUGUCAUUUUGUAUCGGCGGUCAUGAAAAUAAAACAAGGGGUAACACUGUUGUUUUGAAAAUAAAACAUAAGGGGUAACACUGUUGUUUUUUAUCAGAGGUCAUGAAAAUAAAACAUAAGGGGUAACACUGUUGUUUUUUAUCGGAGGUCAUGAAAAUAAAACGUG